GGUCCGUCGGUCUGUGCCUUUGCGGGCGGCCGGCAAAAAUGCCGCCGGCAAAGGGUGGACACGUGGCACGAUCUGGUGCGUGCCCGCGCUCAGCCUUUGGGUUUUUAUUUUUGAUUUUUUUUAUCACAGCAAUUAGAAAUAUUUUGACAGCACAUAUAUACAGAUAUAUUCAGACACAUCACAGCAAAUACAUUCACACAAAAUCAUAGACGCAUCCACAUAUAGCAUUCACAUCUCAUGAAAGUCCGAAAACAUAACAUAUCUCAGAACAAAAGUAUUACAAGUGUUCAUUACAUGGUAGCAACAUAUUACAAGCUAGUGUUCAUACAUGAAAAGAAAGUGACUCGGUCACCUUCAACAUCCACCACCCAUUGCACCAGUAGAAACCUAUGAAAUAGAGUUGGAAUAGCAUAAUUAGAUAUAAAUAAAGGCAUUGAAGCGACAAUUGUAGUAUUUGAAGCGGAACUUAGCCAUUUGACUCAAAAAUGGUGCAAUGGUCACAUAAAUGAGCCA
rnacentral:lncRNA from 1 species